AUCAAGCUUUGUGAUUCAUCAGCCAAGGGAUGAAAAAAGAAAGAGUUAAUCUAUGGGCUGGAGCAGCUGUCUCUGAGAGGAAAAGAAAAAAACCUCAGUCAUCUCCCUUUUACCUGUAUUGUGACUUGUGCCACUACGCAACGGUUGCUCUACCGGAUGGCGUCGUAACUAAUCCCUGGCACUCAACUGACAGGUUUGUUUAGUUUCCUCUUUGGGUGCAGUUCAAUAACUGCACCAACUUCCUGUAAGACAACCUGAUGUGUGUGGAUAUCCAAUGCCCUAAUGUGUUCUCUGUGCUCUCUUUUUAGAGUAGUGUUCUUGUCCGGGCCGUAUCUUUGGGAGGCGCGGUUUGGUGGUUUGCCGUGUACUUGCAUGUAGAUAAGUAGGGUGUUACCUGCUCAAUUCAUACAUUUUUACAAUUGUUUAUUAAUAGUAUUUUGUUCUAGGACCAGCAUUGGUAGAGUUGGAGACGGUCACAUUCUGGCGCUGGCGCUUCAGUGCUCCUAUUUUCAUCUCAUAGAAUAAUAACAUGACUUUUUUCAACCAUUUAAAAAUAAACUUUUGUAGACUUGAA